CCCGGGGCCGCCCCCCGGGACCCCCUGGGCCGGGUUCCGCACGCAGGGCCCGGGGGGCAGGGGGGCUCCCGGCGCCCCCCGCACCAGGGUGCUGGCCGUGCCCUCGCACCGCGGCCCCAAGAUCAGGAAACGGGACAAGGGCAAGGCUCAGCCGCCCCCCAAGCCCCCCAAAGCCCCCAAGGCCUCUCGGCGGCGGGAGAAGCUGCGGGUGCCCCCUCCCCAGAGCCAGCGGCGGCGCCGGGGGGGCCCCGGGGGGGCCGAGGCACGGUUCCAGGAGCUGGUGGAGAGGUACAAGAGGAAGAUUUUGGGGAACAACACCCCCACGGCCCGGGGGGGCAAGUGGUUCGAGAGCUGAGGCUCCCCCAGCACCCCAAAACCCCCCUGGCACCCCAAAAACCGCCCUGGGAGUGCCGGGGGUCCCAAACCCUACAGGGGGGUUUUGGGGGGCUGCCCCCGUGCGCUCUGGGGGGGGGUUGGGGGGUGGGACCCAGCCCUGGGUCCCUCCUGGCUCCCCCCGGGAUUUGGGGGUGCUCCCCCAUGGCUCUGUGUCUUCCUGGCUUUUAAUAAAAAUGGGUUUUUUGAGGAAAA